rnacentral:sRNA from 1 species
GUUUGGUUGGGAUCAUAACUUGACCGAAAAUGAUGCUCUAAAGCAUAAUUUCAGUUUUUUUUUUAAAAUAAGAACAAAUUGUGGACAUCAUAACUAAAAUCCUCAUGCAUGCAUCCCCGUCUUCAAGAUUAAAAUUAUGAGUAACAAUUAAAACAAAAUUUUGGUUGAAAUUGGCAUAAAACUAACAAAACGUUCACACUAAAGAUGACCUCCACCAACAGUCGUAAAAACAUACAUCAUCUCCAAUAGUACCAAUUUCCAAGAACUAAAUCCAAAUAGAACCUUGGAAAACGCUAAAAUUAAGCCGCACCCUUUCCCUUCUUUUUCUGGAGUUUCUUCAUGUAAAACUCCAGCUCCUUACCUUCCAGAAUGUACCUACACAAAUUUGGAAAAAUAAGAAAACUUUGUUGAAAUUCAACAAACAAUACAAUGUUAGCACAAAUAAAAGUUUGAGCAUACCCGUCGGCCCUGCCACAUUGUCCAGGGCGAGAAGAAAUACAUGCCAACAAUCUGCCACCGCCAAAUUGCUCUUCAAUGUGGGCAUCAAGUUUGCGAUCUUUCUGGCGCUUCUCAAUUUUUCUCUGCACAUGGUUACUUUUCUUUGCUUCUUCAGCAGCAGCAUCACCCUCCUGAAAGUUUGACAUAAAAGGGUCAUGAAACACAGUGGAUGCAUAAUAUUCAAUCCAAAAGAACAAAGCCGUUCAUACAUCAUCAAAAAAUGUUUAUUCAUAGAAAGAAUAAUACAAAAAUUGUCAGCAAACAUAUAUUUUCCCAUAAAGUAACAUGAUUCCAAUUAUGAAUUUGCAGAUUUUUGUGCAACACAUUCAAUAAAAGACAAUAUUAACCAAAAAUUUCGAUGCACCAUGCAUUCAGUUUCAACAUAUCUCCUACCAAUAUUACUCAACACUCGACAGGAAGGGGGAUAUUAUUCAAGAAAUAAAUAAUACAGAUUAUACGGGGGAAAAUAUAAAUGAAAAACAAUUCACAAUGUAUCACCUCGGUAGAGUCCUUCUUGGUUGCUGCUUUCUUUUUUCUGCCAAUGUCAACACCAUAGUGUUGAAGGUACCACUGCUUGAAAGGAGCAGCAUCAACCUGAACAAUAGCACUCUUGACCAAAGUCUGGGUUCUCACAAGCUCAUUGUUUGAGGCAUUGUAGACAACAUCUAGAAUACGAGUCUUGCGGGUUACUGCUUCACUACCCCAUGAGUAAUUUCCAGUAUCCAACCUCAGUGCCCUCCAUUUUACAUUACCACCUCUAACGCGAAUCCUCCGGAUUGUUUUGUUGCUUGACAACUUGGUGUUUGCUGAUUGGCGUCCAAGCUCAUACCUAUAUGAAUCCAAUAAAAAUAUAUAUAUCUUUGCAUACAUACAUAUAAUUGGGAUGGAAUACAACUACGUCAACAAGCACAACCAAGCUGGCAAGAAUUCACUAUAAAUAAUCCAAUUUGUUAAAUAAUAUCUACUAAAACUAAGAUCUAAACAAAGUUGUAAAGAUAGAAACUACAGAGAAAAGUUGACUAAGCAGAGAUGAUAAAAACUCAGUAUGCAGUGAGAUUGGGUAGCUAAUAUGUUAUUAUUAGCCAUUUUGGCCUAUGCUUGCAAAAAGUUUGUCGCUUAAGGAUGAUAUAAAAAUCUCAAACUGGUUUUAGACCCUCGCCCUUUGUUUAGACAAUACAUUUUUAAAUAAUGAAAACACAUUUGUAUAACAAAAAGUUCGGACAUGAAUGGUGUAAACAUGCUAUAUGAAUGUAGUCAUAUCCAAUGAAAAAUAAAAUUCCAGAUAUGAAUGUAGUCAUAUCCAAGAAGCCAAAGUGUAGAUGACAUUGCAAAUGAUAAUUUCACAUGAUCACACCUCACGAGAGUGGACUGAUAGAAUGUAGAGUAAAAUAGAAAUUCUAUCUUUCAAAACAUUGAUAGUCUUCUAUGCUACUUCUCUAUUUGUAAGCAGGAGACACAAGAAUCAAAGUGUCAUCUCUAAAUUUAUAAACGAAACACAUUCAAAUAUUAACCAUACAAGGUAUUAGUUUUGUCAUGUCUCUAACCUAAAUUACUAAGGCAGUGACCAUAUGAAUACCCCAUUCGCCCAGUUAAAUAUGACUACAACCAGAUCCAGCAGAUAGACUUCCAAAUUCAAAAUCGUUCAACCAUCACCACUCCUAAAUAAAUAAACAAAUAAAUAAGUAUUGUUAUUUUUAAGCAUUACUUUCUCUUCUUUCUCCACGCCUUCUUCUUGCCUCCAGUUGCACGCCUCUUGUGCAUGGAAUCCCUUGAAAUACCCAUCUUGAUGUAGCGUUCAACACUCUCCCUCCCCUCUUCUUCCCUGGCUUCUUCUCUGGGUACGCCCCCUGUCUGAUAAAACCCUGAACAAACUGUGUUAUUAUAUAUGAAACCCUAGUUCUGGUUGGAUACAGACCCGGUCUCGUCACAAUUUUUC